rnacentral:rRNA from 1 species
UACAGAAGGUGCAAGCGUUACUCGGAAUUACUGGGCGUAAAGGGUGCGUAGGUGGUUUAAUAAGUUAAGUGUGAAAGCCCCGGGCUUAACCUGGGAACUGCGCUUAAUACUGUUGGACUAGAGUAUUGUAGAGGAAGGUGGAAUUUCCAGUGUAGCGGUGAAAUGCGUAGGUAUUGGAAGGAACAUCAGUGGCGAAGGCGACUUUCUGGACAGGUACUGACACUGAGGCACGAAAGCAUGGGGAGCAAACAGG